AUUGAACGCUGGCGGCAGGCUUAACACAUGCAAGUCGAGCGAGCGGCGGACGGGUGAGUAAUGUCUGGGAAACUGCCUGAUGGCGGGGGAUAACUACUGGAAACGGUAGCUAAUACCGCAUACCAUCAGAUGUGCCCAGAUGGGAUUAGCUAGUAGGUGGGGUAAUGGCUCACCUAGGCGACGAUCCCUAGCUGGUCUGAGAGGAUGACCAGCCACACUGGAACGGAGCCACGGUCCAGACUCCUACGGGAGGCAGAAGUGGGGAAUAUUGGACAAUGGGCGAAAGCCGGAUGCAGCCAUGCCGCGGGGGGGAAGAAGGCCUUCGGGUUGUAAAGCACGUUCAGAGAGGAGGCGGUACUCGCAGAAGAAGCACCGGCUAACUCCGUGCCAGCAGCCGCGGUAAUUC
rnacentral:rRNA from 1 species